rfam:Listeria fleischmannii subsp. coloradonensis strain TTT M1-001 Contig003, whole genome shotgun sequence.
GGUAUUGUUUACCCCACAAUAUGCCCCGGAAGGUUGUUGUGUUGAAUAAAACAAUAG